rnacentral:rRNA from 1 species
UACGUAGGGGGCUAGCGUUGUCCGGAUUUAUUGGGCGUAAAGAGCGUGUAGGCGGCCAGGUAGGUCUGCUGUGAAAACUCGAGGCUUAACCUCGAGAUGUCGGCGGAAACCAUCUGGCUAGAGUCCGGAAGAGGAGAGCGGAAUUCCUGGUGUAGCGGUGGAAUGCGCAGAUAUCAGGAAGAACACCAACGGCGAAGGCAGCUCGCUGGGACGGUACUGACGCUGAGACGCGAAAGCGUGGGGAGCGAACAGG